ensembl:ncRNA lncRNA:CR43985 long non-coding RNA:CR43985
AGUCAGUUAACAAGUGAAAUCGCACAAAGCAUGCUCUGCAUAUAAUCAGCUUAAAAUAUCAGCGAACAAACAAUUUCAAUCAAAUUGAAAUCAAACGCUGCAGGAGGACGCCUCUGUGCCAAUCCUCGCAUCCUUCCGAAUCGCCCCCCGUCAUUACCCGCAGUUAUGUUCCAGAUUUACCUUGCUACGUGCAGCACCAAGUUGAUUGCUCAUAUGUGUGCGAGGCAAAGGCGAUGGAGGUGAAAGUAUAAUAAAGGCACAGUUACGUAUACAUAUUCUCGCUGUGGGCAGAUGGAGUCGAGAGUCACUCGCUGACUCAUUCAGUCAUUCACUCAGUCAGCCAGUUUGCUGCGUUGGCCCGAGCCGAGUCAAGCAGUCGAGCGCGAAAUAAGCUUUGUCUGAUGGACUGAGGUAAAUGAACAGUGGAGCAGAUCCACCAGGUGGAGAUGAUGCCACAUGACACGCGGAGGAGCUGCCAGCGGUUGCAACACCAGCAAUAGCACGAC